UUGAUUUUGUAAAAUAUUAUACACUUGUACUCAAGUAUUACUAGGUAUAACAUGCUCAGCAUGAAUUUAAAAGAUAUUAGUUUAGCACCAGUUUAAUCGUGAAAACAUUUGCUCUGGCCCAAGACUCAAUGGAAGAGAUGGAUAGCAUGAAGACAGGACUAUGCUUGGACACCAUGACUCUUCAUGCCAUGUGUAUCUCUGGUUCUAACCUUGAGAGUAAAAUGUAAGAUGCUGUUCAAUGCUUCAUGGAGGAUGGAGAAGCAUCAACAAGGAGACGUCGAGGAAGGGGUAAAGGAAAAGGAAUGUCCCUCAUUUGAAGAUCUUACAGAAAUUAUGACUGAGAAAAUGAGUUCCUCUCAAUGUUUCCUUCAGAGCUUGGGAUGGAUUGAUGAGAAUGGAGAAGAUGUCAAUGCCACCAUAACUGAGUACAUUGCAUCUUUGAACCCAGAGAUCAGCACUCAACUGAAUGAAGAAGUUAUCGGAGAGUGUGUUAUGGAAAUCAUGGAGAAAAUGGCUGAGAAUCCUUAGUAUGCUAAGUGUGCUGAUAAAUACACUGAAGAGGAAUCUUUGGCUUUGGAGGAGAUUGGUAUGAAGAUUGCUUCCUUCAUGUGUUUCACCAAAACCUUUGAUGAAUACUGCAAGAGCUAUAUUCAGCCCAACUAUGUUUAUUGUUGAACCCCUUCUUUCUUCCUUAAACAUUGCACCAAUGGCAUAGUCACAUGGAUGUGAAAUUAACUUGAAUAAAUAUUAAUUGAA